UACGGGGGGGGCAAGCGUUGUUCGGAAUUACUGGGCGUAAAGGGCUCGUAGGCGGCCAACUAAGUCGGAUGUGAAAUCCCCAGGCUUAACCUGGGAACUGCAUCCGAUACUGGAUGGCUUGAAUUCGGGAGAGGGAUGCAGAAUUCCAGGUGUAGCGGUGAAAUGCGUAGAUAUCGUGAGGAACACCAGAGGCGAAGGCGGCUACCUGGACAAUUGCUGACGCUCAGGCACGAAAGCGUGGGGAGCAAAAGGG
rnacentral:rRNA from 1 species